GUCCAGGAAACAAUGAUGCAAUCAUUUCCAAGCACAUAUCUGAUGAUGCCAUGUGGAAAUAAAUUCCUGAGUUUCCUGAAC